rnacentral:rRNA from 1 species
GUAAGGGAAGAAUAAGGGCUACGCGUAGUCUGAUGACGGUACCUUACGAAUAAGCAUCGGCUAACUCCGUGCCAGCAGCCGCGGUAAUACGGAGGAUGCGAGCGUUAUCCGGAAUCAUUGGGUCUAAAGGGUCUGUAGGCGGGCUAGUAAGUCAGAGGUGAAAGCGCUUAGCUCAACUAAGCAACUGCCUUUGAAACUGUUGGUCUUGAAUGGUUGUGAAGUAGUUGGAAUGUGUAGUGUAGCGGUGAAAUGCUUAGAUAUUACACAGAACACCGAUAGCGAAGGCAUAUUACUAACAAUUAAUUGACGCUGAUGGACGAAAGCGUGGGGAGCGAACAGGAUUAGAUACCCUGGUAGUCCACGCUGUAAACGAUGGAUACUAGCUGUUUGGAGCGAUCUGAGUGGCUAAGCGAAAGUGAUAAGUAUCCCACCUGGGGAGUACGUUCGCAAGAAUGAAACUCAAAGGAAUUGACGGGGGCCCGCACAAG